CAGUCGCCGCGGUAAUACAGAGGGUGCGAGCGUUAAUCGGAUUUACUGGGCGUAAAGCGUGCGUAGGCGGCUUCUUAAGUCGGAUGUGAAAUCCCUGAGCUUAACUUAGGAAUUGCAUUCGAUACUGGGAAGCUAGAGUAUGGGAGAGGAUGGUAGAAUUCCAGGUGUAGCGGUGAAAUGCGUAGAGAUCUGGAGGAAUACCGAUGGCGAAGGCAGCCAUCUGGCCUAAUACUGACGCUGAGGUACGAAAGCAUGGGGAGCAAACAGGAUUAAAGACCCCAGUAGUCCCUGUCUCUUAUAC
rnacentral:rRNA from 1 species